rnacentral:rRNA from 1 species
UCGGGAAUUUUGGGCAAUGGGCGAAAGCCUGACCCAGCAACGCCGCGUGAAGGAUGAAGUAUUUCGGUAUGUAAACUUCGAAAGAAUAGGAAGAAUAAAUGACGGUACUAUUUAUAAGGUCCGGCUAACUACGUGCCAGCAGCCGCGGUAAUACGUAGGGACCAAGCGUUGUUCGGAUUUACUGGGCGUAAAGGGCGCGUAGGCGGUGUGUCAAGUCAGUUGUGAAAUCUCCGAGCUUAACUCGGAACGGUCAACUGAUACUGUCACACUAGAGUACAGAAGGGGCAAUCGGAAUUCUUGGUGUAGCGGUGAAAUGCGUAGAUAUCAAGAGGAACACCUGAGGUGAAGACGGGUUGCUGGGCUGACACUGACGCUGAGGCGCGAAAGCCAGGGGAGCAAACGGGAUUAGAUACCCCCGUAGUCCCUGAGCGGGCUGGCAAGGCGCAU